GCGUCGGUAGUGCGACGGUUAGCAUACGCUCCCUAGAAGAGUAAGAUCUGGGUUCGAAUCCCGGCUGAAGCA